GUACUUCGUAUUACUUCGCAGGGAACUUCAUGUAGAGUUGGGUUGGGUUUGCAUCAUUUCUCUUCUUCAAACGACUCGCAUCAAAAAGAAGUUUUAGUUUCUUUUUUAUUUAUUUAUCACACUAUUAUAUUUCAUUCGAUCCUGAAGUUUUCUUCGACGCAUGCAUUUACACGCAGUAAAUUCCAAUUAAAGAUUCCUUUUUUCUGCCGGACCAGCGGGUCGAUGAAGAUGCGGUCAUCGCAGGCUUUGCAACUCCAGUUGAUACUCGAGCUUUCGCCUCUUCCUGAUGCGCUGCUUGUAGUGCUGCUACAGGUUGGGAGCUUAUCGAUGCAGGAACUGCAGACGCAGCCAAAGUUUUUCGGGUUGGAUUUCGUUCCAAAUCAACAUUGGGGCAAUCUGUCAUAAAGAAAAGAAAUUUAAAUAUUGGUUCAUCUAAAUUCUAAUAACGUUUAAUUACCUGCAACAUUUUCUCGGCAAUUUGAAGAAUUGGAAGAAGUAGAAGAAUGGCGUUCCAUUGGCUGCGACGAAUGGUUGGAUGAACUGCUCGACAGUCUUCCAUGAGGGUCUUGGCCGGUCGUUUGAAAGUACAGAUUUCGAUACUUGAUCAGUUUUUCUUUAUAAAAUUCCAUUCUUUCACCGAUUUCUGAGACUUUUUUCCGCAGUCUUUCGUUGUCUGAAACGUACUGAUCCAUUUGCCAGCGGAACUAUAAAUUUAAUAUAAUACAAGAAUAAAUUUAAUUUUAUACAAGAAAGCUCUUCGAAGUGAAAUGAAGACUUACGCCAAACCCUUUGUCAGCAAUUGGAUCGGUUUGGAUGGAUAUUGACUCCACAACGAUUGAAAGGCGAGGCUUUGGGAGGCUGACUGUGCCGUCUUCGUUUUGCCGAUCACGCAGCAACCGAAGUUGUUCUUUGCAUUUCACAUACUAAAAAAAAUAAAAUCAAAGUAUUAUU